CAAUAUGCCCACUGCCUGUCUUAAAGGGCCAUACACACCCAAUAAAAGUGCAUAAGUUCCCACAAUCUCCCAGGGGCCAUAGUCAUGUGGAAGGAGGUUUGCAAAUAGGCUUCUCCACAACCCAGGGAAGCAGGGCAAUUUGCCAUUUAAAGGCCCAGUUACAAAUAGCAGUUUGUAACAAAUAACAUAUCAUUAAAUUAAUUAAUUGUCUAUUAUAGCAAUCAGGGAAGAAAAAAAAGUCAGAACAAUUAUUUCUGAAGAAAAUCUCUGGGGAGCCAUGGCUAUAAUUCGUCCUCCCUCCUGGACGAAUUAAGUUUAAAUGAACAAUUUAGUUGAAUUUAGAGCUUGGUAUAAAUUCUUUGCAGUUCUCAUAACAUGAUUGUGUUUCCCCAUGAUGAAGGGUAUGAAGCCCGCUUAGAGUGUGAUAUAUUAAUAACAUAUUUUACUAUCACUGUUCUUUGGGACCAAAUAAUAUUUAUCAGCGCAUAACCAAG